UGAACCUUGUUCCUGUCUAUACCAAAC
rnacentral:piRNA from 1 species